GACGAACGCUGGCGGCGUGCUUAACACAUGCAAGUCGAACGGAAAGUCCCUGCUUUUGUGGGGUGCUCGAGUGGCGAACGGGUGAGUAACACGUUAGUAACCUGCCCUUGACUUUGGGAUAACUUCAGGAAACUGGGGCUAAUACCGGAUAGGAGCUCCUGCUGCAUUGUGGGGGUUGGAAAGUUUCGGCGGUUGGGGAUGGACUCGCGGCUUAUCAGCUUGUUGGUGGGGUAGUGGCUUACCAAGGCUUUGACGGGUAGCCGGCCUGAGAGGGUGACCGGCCACAUUGGGACUGAGAUACGGCACAGACUCCUACGGGAGGCAGAAGUGGGGAAUAUUGCACAAUGGGCGGAAGCCUGAUGCAGCAACGCCGCGUGCGGGAUGACGGCCUUCGGGUUGUAAACCGCUUUCGCCUGUGACGAAGCGUGAGUGACGGUAAUGGGUAAAGAAGCACCGGCUAACUACGUG
rnacentral:rRNA from 1 species